AGCUAUCUUCUUUCUAUGUGAAAAAGGUAAGCAAACACUCUAAAGGUUCCAAACAUAAAAAGAGAUGUGACAUGUCAGGGCCACAGAAAUAGUCAGCCUCUGAAAACCUUAGGAUUGUAUGAUGAUGUUGUUGUUGUUGUUGUUAUUAUUAUUAUUAUUAUUAUUAUUAUUGAGAGGCUGAGUGGCCAUCUGUUGGGAGUGCUUGGAUUGUGUCCUGCAUGGCAGAUGGUGGGAGGUGUUCGCUGGCCUUGAUUGUUUAGUGUCUGGCAUUCCCGUGUUUUAAGAGUGUUGUUUUUUAUUUGGUGUUGUGAUUUUAAGCCUGUUAAAAUAUUAGGAGAGAGAUUGUGUUGAUUGUCAUGGUUUAUAGCAUAUAUUUAAAAUAUAGAGUAUUAAAAUGGGUUGGAUAUUGUAGAAGGUUGGAGUGGAGAUAAAUGAUUCGGAUGAUGGGCGGGCGCUAGGACCCAGGGGACAGCUUUUUCCCAUUGCCUGCCUUCCCUCUUGCCGGCCGGCCAUUAUACUUUCUGUUUCCCUCCCGGCAUGGCUACCGAUGGUGCGUUGUGGGUUCUGUCCAUGUGGAGGUUAUGAAGGAGUGAAGUUCUCCUUUAAGAGAGCAGGUUGAUUUUCUUCCAAGAUUAAAUACUGACCGGGCAUGCAGGAGGAAGCCUUGGUCCAGGAUGGCAAGUGGUUAUGAAAGUAUAUCUGCUAGCUCAAGAGGAAGCCGCAUCAAGCCAACCCUGACUGGGAUCACCUUCCAUCUGCAAACUGAUGUCCUCACUGCGGAAGAACAUGCAGAUCAAGAAUAGGUCUCUACAGUCACCUAUGGACCCACCGCCAAUACCCUACACCUGGAAGGCAAUCAUACUCGGCUAUGAGGGAUUGCCUAAGUAAGAAAGCGGCCUUAUAACUUAAUUAGCACAGGCCCUCGUUUGUCCCAGAUCCAGCACUGCCAGAAACUAAUUCCUAUGAUAAUUGGAAGCUGGGUAAGUUUGGCUUAGAUAAAAUUUGAGACAUGAUAUGGUGACCACAUUAAAUAUCUCAAGGAA